UUGCAGUGGUAGUAAUUCACUGUGUCUUGAAACAAAUUAAUAUGAAGUUAGAAGGAAAGACCGUGUUCAUCACUGGAGCCGCCCAGGGCUUAGGACAAGGAAUUGCCGGGGCCCUACUAGAAAGAGGGGCUAAGGUUUGUAUUGUUGAUUUGAACCGUGAAAAGGGCGAAGAAACUGUCAAACAGUUCCAACAGAAGUUCGACAAGGAAAAUGUAUUCUUUAUCAAAUCUGAUGUGACCAAAGAAAAUGAAUUUGAAGAUGCAUUUAAAGAAGCUGUGACACGUCUUGGUAAUAUAGAUAUUAUGGUCAACAAUGCUGGUAUAAUGGAUGAAAGUAGAUGGGAAGUAAUGAUUCAACUUAAUAUUACAAGUAUGGUUAGAGGAACCAAUAUGGCGAUAGCUCACAUGAAUAAAGUAACUGGAGGUAAAGGAGGACUUGUAAUAAACACGGCAUCUGUAGCGGGUUUUGGUCCAGGAUUCUGGUUUCCUGUUUAUGGAGCAACAAAACACGCUGUUAUAGGAUUUACUACUAGUUGGGCGGCUAAUCCAAAUGUAGAAUCAAUGGGAAUCAGAUUUGCAUGUCUAUGUCCGUCUGCAGCCGAUACAGCACUUUUAGAUUACAAAGAAAAUCAGGGAAUCAUGAUCAGCCAUUUUAAACAAUUCCUUCAUGAAGUGAUUGGUGUGGCACCCGUUAGUAAGAUCGUAGAAGGAUUUAUGACAUUGGUAGAAAAAGAUGACAACAAUGGCGCGCUUUUAGUUGUUGGUAAAAAUGAAGGAAUACAAUUUGUAACUCGACAGUAUAAUCCUGGAACUCCUAAAGAAAAUCAAGAAAAGGCUGAUGCUGCAAAGACUUCAUAACAACAAAAUUUGAUGUCUUGUUGUACAGACUGUUGGGAAAUUAAUAGAUAAUUAUAUAAAUUCGUUGUAAAAUUCAGCUACUUUGUGAUAAAUUUGUUUUAAAACACUUACGACGUAUACAUGAACAACAAAAAUAGA